GGACUACCCGGGUUUCUAAUCCUGUUUGCUCCCCACGCUUUCGCGCCUCAGCGUCAGUUACAGCCCAGAAAGUCGCCUUCGCCACUGGUGUUCCUCCACAUCUCUACGCAUUUCACCGCUACACGUGGAAUUCCACUUUCCUCUUCUGUACUCAAGCCUUGCAGUUUUCGAUGCGAAUCAGAGUUGAGCUCUGAGAUUAAACACCAAACUUACAAAGCCGCCUGCGCGCGCUUUACGCCCAAUAAUUCCGGACAACGCUUGCCCCCUACGUAUUACCGCGGCUGCUGGCAC
rnacentral:rRNA from 1 species